AGUAAUGCAUCGGAACGUGUCCCGUAGUGGGGGAUAGCCCGGCGAAAGCCGGAUUAAUACCGCAUAUGCUCUACGGAGGAAAGUGGGGGACUCGCAAGGGCCUCACGUUAUGGGAGCGGCCGAUGUCCGAUUAGCUUGUUGGCGGGGUAAUGGCCCACCAAGGCGACGAUCGGUAGCUGGUCUGAGAGGAUGAUCAGCCACACUGGGACUGAGACACGGCCCAG
rnacentral:rRNA from 1 species